GAUGAACGCUGGCGGCGUGCCUAACGCAUGCAAGUCGAACGAACCCUUCGGGGUUAGUGGCGGACGGGUGAGUAACACGUGGGAACGUGCCUUUAGGUUCGGAAUAACUCAGGGAAACUUGUGCUAAUACCGAAUGUGCCCUUCGGGGGAAAGAUUUAUCGCCUUUAGAGCGGCCCGCGUCUGAUUAGCUAGUUGGUGAGGUAAUGGCUCACCAAGGCUACGAUCAGUAGCUGGUCUGAGAGGAUGACCAGCCACAUUGGGACUGAGACACGGCCCAAACUCCUACGGGAGGCAGCAGUGGGGAAUCUUGCGCAAUGGGCGAAAGCCUGACGCAGCCAUGCCGCGUGGAUGAUGAAGGUCUUAGGAUUGUAAAAUCCUUUCACCGGUGAAGAUAAUGACUGUAGCCGGAGAAGAAGCCCCGGCUAACUUCGUGCCAGCAGCCGCAGUAAGAC
rnacentral:rRNA from 1 species